GCGGAGUAGCGGGGGGAGGGAGAGGAAGCAAAGAGAGUGCAAGAGAAAAAUCAAACUUGGGUACCAAAUUAUAGAUCAGUUAGUGGCGGGGGAGAAGACAUAAUUAGUGACAGAGUCUGGACGCCCCCGCCUCCCCCCGCACUGGGGGCUGACUGAGUGGGCAAGGGAGGCAGGGCGGGGAGCUAGGCGAGCUGGAGCGGUGCAGGGCUACCCCCUCCUUCCCACCCCGCAGCCUCAGCGCAAAGCUACAGCGCGGCUGCGGAGGAGAAGCAGCAGCGGCAGCUACCUGGGAGCAGGCGGAGCCGUAAAGGAAGUAGCUGAGGCUGAGAACCUGAAAAUAGCGAAUCCCUAGCGGCGUCCCUCGAGCUACACUGACCCCAGCACGCAGGGCUUGCUGCAAACUGUUUUCAACUCCCCUCAUUCAAUCCACCAGCAGCCAGAGGCCUAUGAAGCUCUGUCAUUUCAUGAGAUUCAGCCACACAUACCUGAAGCCAUAUAUACCUCUCAAACCGGGGCAAUGGUUCCUUGCUUCAGAGGUUGCAAAAUUGUCGUGGGAAGUAUACAAAUCCAUGUUUGGAGCUCAGGAUCUCCUCCUUCACAGCCCCAUCAAGCAACAAGAAUGUUUUAAAAGUAGGAUCAGAGGGUUGAAUUUUGGGAGGGGGAUGCAAAGAAAUGAUGAACGAUGUUAACUUUUGACUGCAGGAGUCAUGAUAGAGUUGAGUGAAGCUUCAGGGAAAUAAAUCAUUUAAUCCCAGAGCUACCGAAGUCACCUUUUCAAACAUUUUGAGGCUUGAAAUCAUACUGCUGUAAAAGCGACAGAGUACUUAAAAGUAUCAAAUAUCAAGAAAUGUAGCUAUAUUAGGAAUGGAUCCAAAAUGAGAAAAAAAUAACCACGCGAUCAUGAAAAUAUCAACCAGAUUAUAUCUCCCAAGGAAAACAACAACAACAACAACAACGGCAUCAGCAAAAUUGUAGCGCUUGCAUUCACUAAAGGAGAAUAGACAGCAUGUGCAUGUUUGUGUGAAAUGCCAAAAAGAGCAGCCUUAAGCUUGACCUACUGCAAUCUGCACUGAGCUCCUCAGACAAUAGACAAGUUCAAAUGUCAAAAAAUCUAAUAAUAAAAAACAGAGCUGCCAAACUGCACGAACUGUUUUCUGGUGUACCAUAAUUAUUCACCCUCUUAUCCACUAAGAGACUGCCAGUCUUAUGCGCGUAAAAGAAAAUCUAUGUAAUGCAUAUAGAUUUUUUUUAAAUGUGAAACGCGAUUGAGAUUGCCAGCAAGCAAAUCAGAAUAUGUCUAAUAAAAGCAGGGCUAAGGUUUCCACAGCCUUGGAAAGAGGCUAACUUGUAAAUCCUUUUUUUAUGUUGCUACAUGUUCAAUUAUUCUUAUAAAUAAAAAUCUGCAUGUUCGAGGAGCUAGGUUGUAACUAUCUAUGCGGAGAAUUUUAAGGGAGGUGGUGACAUUAAGCUUCAUAUGCAAUGUGUCUGCAUGGAACUCAAACCAGCAGAUAGAUUAUUGCAUUCAUUUGAGAACUUUCAUUACUAUGCAUGUUAGGUGCACCUAAACACAGUAGAGUGUAUAAUAUCAGAAAUGUGCUGUUCUAAACGUACCUAUAUUUUCAAAUAGAUCUUAAUUGUAUGUGUAGUACUGUGUUAUAUUACUAAUUUUUUACAGAAUCAGAAAUUAUUUAUUACCUUAAACAAUAAAUAAGGUCCAUACUGGAAUCUUCACAAUUAAAUGUAUGGAUAAAAGAUCAUCCUGCCUAUUGUUUAUCUCCUUGUUACUGUAAGCCUUUAAAAGUAAUAUGUCUAUUUUCCUCUUUUCUCCAAAUUGGCUGGUGUAAUAUCUCUUGUCCAGCUAUCAACGGUUAUAUGAACUACUAUAUGGGUAAGGUUUAAAAACAGAGCAAAUCACAUUAUCUGGGAAUGCUACAAAUCUGGAAUCCAGUCAACUCCACCUUUUCAUCUGACUUCUGUAUUAUAAGGGAAAACAUUUUACAUAUAGCAUACUGUAUAUGUAGCAUGUCUUUGUUUAACAUUUUAAUUUGUAAAUGCUAAUUAGGCAGUUGCUCUCCACAAUUAUAUUAUUACACACCUAAUCAUUCUCAAAUAUAAGUAGAUGAAUACUAAAUACAGUAAAUAGUAUUUCCCAAUACCUCGGCACUGUUCUUCAUUUUGCAAAUGAGUCUUUCCGGACAAAAUAAUUAAAACAACAAAAACAACAAAAACAAAAAACCCUUUGUAGCUUUGUUUUAAUUGUUCUGGCACUUAAGGCAUAAACGUGGCGGUCACAUCCAAAUAAUAUGUUUAACAGCCAGCAUGGAAAGUAACUCUAUCGAAUUAACUUGUUGCUCGUUUUAAGUGUUAAUGUUUUCUAUUUGCUUUUAUUCGCUUCUAUGUAUACAGACAGUGAGUCAUACAGGGAUAAGACUGAGGAGUUGACCUACUAGAAUUGUUUUUUUGGACUAUAAAUUCAAGUUGCAUUUGAGGUAGAAAAAAGACAAAGCACGAACUGCACGAAAAUGCAAUAUUUUUCAAAUGUGGGAUAUUAACCAUCACUGGCCUCUCUAAACUCAAAAUCCCAUGGUCAUAUGUCCAAAAACUGUUUGAUAAACAAUGGUAAAUCCAAGACUAUGUGGUGACCCUUGUGAAGAAAAUUGCACUAUAGAUAUGUACCCUAAUAGUCUGGGAAAUAGUCAUUGCUUUAGUGGGUAAAUGCGGUAUGGUGGGAAGUUUUAGUCAUGUAAAUAUCUCCAUGCAUUUUCAGUCAUCUUCAAUACACGGCAAGGCUUAACUCAGUUGUGAAAGUGAAGGCAUGUGAACACUUUGCACAUGGCAAAAAGAGAAAUGUCUAUUUUUUCAUUGUUUCUUUUGCUGUUUACUUCUCUCUAUUAUGCUUUUUGAACAGUGACUUAGCUUUCCACCAGAUACCACAUUUAUGGGCAAUACUAUUUCCAGGAUGUAAUUGGUCUUUAUACUGUAAAGACAAAGAAUAAAACUUGCAGUCACACUGAAACUGACGAAGUUCUAGUUGGAGAGAACAACCUGUCUUCAGGGCCUGGCAGAGUUUGUUAUGAUUAUGCAUCAAGCGUGCGCCUGCCCCACCAGCGCUCCCUGGCACUUCCACUUUUACAGGUGUUUAGCUGGUGCUAAAUGAAUGUUAACUUGCUGGUGUGUAUAUAGAUAUACAGAUAGACCUUCAUAAGAACAAACAUAUGUAUUUAUCAAUAAAAUCACAGAAGUAAAUUGGUUACUUAUGUGUCCCAUGCAGCCACCUAGAAAAAGAAAUAACAAGAAUGGGCUCCUUGAGCAAUAUGUUAAGACUAUGCACAAUGUGUUUGCAAAACGACAGAAAAUCUAUGCAGACACCGAAGUUAAGAUUGUUUUAUGUCUGUAAAUAUCUACAGCUGGAACUUCUUGUGUAAUUUUUGCAUGUGUCUACUGAUACGGACUUCAGAUUAUUUAGAUUGUUAACAAUGUUAUUUUAUAGCUACAUUCGAGAUAGUGAAGUAAUUGAAAGAGAGUGAGUGGCUACUUUAUUGGGAAUAUUGCAAAUACUUCUGAAGAUUUAAAA